AAAGGCUUAGUUAAGAGGCAGAAAUCAAAUAUAUGUUGGUCAAUGUAAUAUUGAUCAGUCAUAACCUAAGGCAUUUUGAGUGGAAAAUUACAGCUAUUCUUUUUAGCCAUUAAUUGUCCGCCAAGCUGUCUUAGACAUUU
rfam:Ricinus communis cultivar Hale ctg_1100012350358, whole genome shotgun sequence.